rnacentral:rRNA from 1 species
GGGUGCGAUCAUACCAGCACUAAUGCACCGGAUCCCAUUAGAACUCCGAAGCUAAACUUGCUUGGGUGGGAGUAGUACUAAGAUGGGUGACCUCUUGGGAAGUCCUCGUGUUGCACCCC